GAUGAACGCUGGCGGCGCGCCUAACACAUGCAAGUCGAACGAUUAAAGCACCUUCGGGUGUGUAUAAAGUGGCGAACGGCUGAGUAACACGUGGGCAACCUGCCCCUCUCAUUGGGAUAGCCACGGGAAACCGUGGAUAAUACCGAAUACUUCGGGUCUUCCGCAUGGAAGACCCGAGAAAGCUCCGGCGGUGGGGGAUGGGCCCGCGGCCUGUUAGCUUGUUGGUGGGGUAAUGGCCUACCAAGGCAAUGAUGGGUAGCUGGGUUGAGAGACCGACCAGCCAGAUUGGGACUGAGACACGGCCCAGACGCCUACGGGAGGCAGCAGUGGGGAAUCUUGCACAAUGGGCGAAAGCCUGAUGCAGCGACGCCGCGUGCGGGAUGAAGGCCUUCGGGUUGUAAACCGCUUUCAGCAGGGACGAGGCGAAAGUGACGGUACCUGCAGAAGAAGCCCCGGCUAACUACGUG
rnacentral:rRNA from 1 species